AUUGAACGCUGGCGGCAGGCCUAACACAUGCAAGUCGAGCGGAGCGGCGGACGGGUGAGUAAUGCCUAGGAAUCUGCCUGGCAGUGGGGGAUAACGUCCGGAAACGGGCGCUCAUACCGCAUACUAUCAGAUGAGCCUAGGUCGGAUUAGCUAGUUGGUGGGGUAAAGGCCUACCAAGGCGACGAUCCGUAACUGGUCUGCGAUGAUGAUCAGUCACCCUAGAACUGAGACACGGUCCAGACUCCUACGGGUGGCAGCAGUGGGGAAUAUUGGACAAUGGGCGAAAGCCUAUUCCAGCCAUGCCGCGUGUGUGAAGACGGUCUUCGGAUUGUAAAGCACAUUAAGUUGGGAGGCGUUACCAACAGAAUAGGCACCGGCUGACUUCGUGCCAGCCGCCGCGGUAGUUC
rnacentral:rRNA from 1 species